rnacentral:rRNA from 1 species
UGACCGGCAAAACCGAGACGGUGAGUACUAACCUCCGCCUCGUGGUGGUUCCUUCCUUCGGGUUGGUUCCGCCGCGUGGUGUUGGGACCGUAGCCGCAGUAGGUCAGCGCAGGGGUGACACGGAAUGGGAGCCGGCCGCGGAGGUGGUUUUCCGUGGUCAAGCACGCAGCCAGUCAUGUAGGCAAAUCCGCAUGGCGCGCAUGGCGAGGUGUGAUGAUGGGAGCCGUUAUGACUCGAUAUCCGGUUGUCCAGGCCGUCGAGAAAAGCCUCGGCGUGAGGGCCAUGGCCGCCCGUACCCCAAACCGACACUGGUGGUCAGGUAGAGAAUACCAAGGCGAUCGAGCGAAUCCUGGUCAAGGAACUCGGCAAAUCACUCCCGUGCCUUCGGUAUAAGGGAGACCCGCUGGGGUGAACCGGCUAGCCCGGGGAGCUUUGGUGGGUGGCACAGACCAGGGGGUAGCGACUGUUUACCAAAAACACAGGUGCAUGCGAAGGCGAAAGCCGCUGUAUAUGCACUGACGCCUGCCCGGUGCCGGAAGGUUAAGAGGAUCCGUCAAUCCCUUCGGGAUGAAGCGGUGAAUUCAAGCCCCGGUAAACGGCGGUGGUAACAAUAACCAUCCUAAGGUAGCGAAAUUCCUUGUCGGGUAAGUUCCGACCUGCACGAAUGGCGUAACGACUUCCCCACUGUCUCGACCAGGAGCUCGGCGAAAUUGCAGUACGAGUAAAGAUGCUCGUUAAGCGCAGAAGGACGAAAAGACCCCGGGACCUUUACUAUACCUUGGUAUUGGCGUUAGGCGCGGAUUGUGUAGCAUAGGCGGGAGGCUUCGAAGCGUGGGCGCCAGCUCAUGUGGAGCCGCAAGGUGAAAUACCGCUCUGUUCUCGUUUGACGUCUAACCUCGACAAGUCAUCCUUGUCAGGGACAGUGCCUGGCGGGUAGUUCAACUGGGGCGGUUGCCUCCCAAAGAGUAACGGAGGCGCUCAAAGGUCCGCUCAGCCCGGUUGGCAAUCGGGUGUCGAGUGUAAUCGCACAAGCGGGCUUGACUGCGAGGACGACGGUCCGAGCAGGGACGAAAGUCGGAGAUAGUGAUCCGGUGCCGGCGCACGGGCGCGGCAUCGCUCAACGGAUAAAAGGUACCCCGGGGAUAACAGGCUGAUCAUUCCCAAGAGUCCAUAUCGACGGGAUGGUUUGGCACCUCGAUGUCGGCUCGUCGCAUCCUGGGGCUGGAGCAGGUCCCAAGGGUUCGGCUGUUCGCCGAUUAAAGCGGCACGCGAGCUGGGUUCAGAACGUCGUGAGACAGUUUGGUCUCUAUCCUCUGCGCUCGUUGGAAUCCUGAGGAGGCCUGCCCAUAGUACGAGAGGACCUGGGUGGACGAACCUCUGGUAUGCCGGUUGUCGCGCCAGCGGCACGGCCGGUUGGCUACGUUCGGGAGGGAUAACCGCUGAAAGCAUCUAAGCGGGAAGCCUGCUCCAAGAUUAGGAUUCCAUGGAUCUUCGAGAUCCUGUAGCCCGCAUGUUGAACACGUGUUUGAUAGGCCGGAGGUGGAAGUCCCGUGAGGGGUGGAGCCGACCGGUACUAACGGGCGACGGC